rnacentral:rRNA from 1 species
AUUGAACGCUGGCGGCAGGCCUAACACAUGCAAGUCGAACGGUAACGGGCCAUAGGUUGCUGACGAGUGGAGGAGGGGCGGACAAGUGAGCAGUACGUGGGCAACUGCGGGGGAGAGGGAGGUGACAGCUGGAAAAAUACCCUAAUACCUCAUAGGAUGACAGGAGGAGAGAGGGGGGCCUUGCGCCCUCGGGCCGGCAGAUGGGCCGAUGUGGGAUUAGCUGGUUGGUGGGGUAACGGCCCACCGAGGCGACGAUCGGUAGCUGGUCUGAGAGGAUGACCAGCCACACUGGAACUGAGACACGGUCCAGACUCCUACGGGAGGCAGCAGUGGGGAAUAUUGGACAAUGGGCGCAAGCCUGAUCCAGCCAUGCCGCGUGCAGGAAGAAGGCCUUCGGGUUGUAAAGUGCUUUUGUAGGGAACGAAAGGCGUUAGGUUAAUACCGUAGGUUCAUGACGUUACCCGAAGAAUAAGCACCGGCUAACUUCGUG